ACGGGAGUGAGCUUUAUAUCAUUUUCAAGAUUAUAUCAUGGUUUGAGUUACAAUAAACCGUGUUCUGAGCUUAUAUCAAUGAAAAAGACUAAUAUAAUUUCAUCUAUCCAUUAAUACAAAGUUGCUUUUAAUGUCCAGGUUAUUGACGUACCCGCCGUCGAGCAGGAGAUGGCCGUCAACUGGGUCACACAUGGGUGGCAUAUAACCAGACAAAGACAUCGAAGCCCGAAUGUACCGCCACAGCGAUCCUAAACACGACGAAUUAAGUUCUUAAAUACCGUGUGUAUGGGUGCGCAUACAAGAAUCAGUGAUGUCUGUGGUUAUUGUAAAAUAUGGUAACCAUAAAUCUUCUAUGUAUACCGGCUUCGAUAACUGCUUUAAGCAUCCCUACAUGGGCUGCACCUCUAGCACCUCCACCUCCAAGUACAAGCCCAACGGAAGUUCCAGUUAACCAGCGAGCAAGCCUACUGAAAUCACUAUGUAUGUUUGGCUC